AAACUUUAGAAGUUUCCUUGGCGCAGCAAAAACAUUCCAGGAAGUAAAGCGGUUAUAAAUAGUUUCGGAUCAUUGUGGAAAUGUACUGGGAACCUGGCAGAAAAUGAAUCAGUCGGGCUUUCCACAAGACCCACCUCAAAUGAAGAUCCCAAUGCAAAGUGGCAGGAAGCCGUCUAGGGAUGCCGCGACUAGGGAUGAUGGGCCGGUGGCGAUGGGGUUCCAGGCAUGAGAAAGAGACUCAGUCUGAAGUGCUCUCAGGCUGGAUCAACUCUAAGGAAGGAGAGCAUUAACAGAAGUUUUCCUAACAGAAGAAGAAAGGCUCCGGAAGACACCAUUUCUAGCAAGGCAGGCUUUCUCUCACAAGCACUGAAGAUGUUUCUGUCUGGGGUAAGGGCUUCAGCGUAGGCAAGCAGGUAUAACGAGCACCAUUGCAUUUGGGUGGAUGGGGGGGAUAAACAAAGGUAUUUCUGGAGAAAUUUGCAGUAUUUUUUUUACAUUCCCAUCUCCAAUAUGUCUCAUUGUGAGCUAUGGAUGGACUGUGAUGUCCAGUUUAAAUAGGAAGUCCCCAUAAAGCACGCCGUGGAGAUUUUAGUGCCACGAGAACGGCUUCCUUUGUAUCUUUAAUUUUAUGUGUAUGGGUGUUUUUCCUGCACACGUAUCUGUGCACCACGUGUAUUCAGUGAUCAGAAGGUAUCAGAUCCCUUGGAACUAGAAUUACAGACGGUUGUUAGCUGUCAAGUGAACGCUGGGAAUUGAACCCCUGCCCUCCGCGGGAGCAGUCAGCAUCAAUGCUCACACCCAGAGAGCAUUUCUCCAGCUUUGCCCGCUCCGUCCUCCAUCCGUCCUUUCUAUCUCUGAAGGUAGAGUGACUGACAAAAAUAGCCAUGUUCCCUUUUAUACCUUGGAUGGAUGCUUGUGAAAUCAUGUUCCUGUUUGACGCGUGAGAUGGGAAAAUUACAGAACUCCAGAAGGGGGUGUGGAAAGGGGCAAAGAGAAGAACUCUGCAGUAAUGGAGUUUGCCUCAUGGCUCUGCCGUUGUUUACCUCGUUUCCUGGGCUCUGGGGACUUCUGGACCAGAGAGCUAAGACAUACUUUCCCUGGAAAAUGCUGGGACUUUAUUAGGCUGGAAAUAAUAAC
rnacentral:lncRNA from 1 species